CAAGUCGAGGGGUAGUUACUUUCGGGUAAUGAGACCGGCGCACGGGUGCGUAACGCGUAUGCAAUCUACCUUUUACAGGGGAAUAGCCCAGAGAAAUUUGGAUUAAUGCCCCAUAGUAUAUAACAUUCGCAUGUUUGUUAUAUUAAAGUUCCAACGGUAAAAGAUGAGCAUGCGUCCCAUUAGUUAGUUGGUAAGGUAACGGCUUACCAAGACUAUGAUGGGUAGGGGUCCUGAGAGGGAGAUCCCCCACACUGGUACUGAGACACGGACCAGACUCCUACGGGAGGCAGCAGUGAGGAAUAUUGGACAAUGGGCGCAAGCCUGAUCCAGCCAUGCCGCGUGCAGGAAGAAGCAUCUAUGGUGUGUAAACUGCUUUUGUACAGGAAGAAACACUCCCUCGUGAGGGAGCUUGACGGUACUGUAAGAAUAAGGAUCGGCUAACUCCGUGCCAGCAGCCGCGGUAAUACGGAGGAUCCAAGCGUUAUCCGGAAUCAUUGGGUUUAAAGGGUCCGUAGGCGGUUUGAUAAGUCAGUGGUGAAAGCCCAUCGCUCAACGAUGGAACGGCCAUUGAUACUGUCAGACUUGAAUUACAAGGAAGUAACUAGAAUAUGUAGUGUAGCGGUGAAAUGCUUAGAUAUUACAUGGAAUACCAAUUGCGAAGGCAGGUUACUACUUGUGGAUUGACGCUGAUGGACGAAAGCGUGGGGAGCGAACAGGAUUAGAUACCCUGGUAGUCCACGCCGUAAACGAUGGAUACUAGCUGUUGGGUGCAAACUCAGUGGCUAAGCGAAAGUGAUAAGUAUCCCACCUGGGGAGUACGUUCGCAAGAAUGAAACUCAAAGGAAUUGACGG
rnacentral:rRNA from 1 species